CGGUCACGCUUCCCACCUCGGUCCGACCGGGUCUGCUCCUGCCCUCCCGCCCCCGCCCCGGAACUGGCCAGGGUCGUGACUUCUGUCUCCGUCUGUUUGGAAACUACAAGCCAGUUAAGCCAGCCCUUAGGAAUGCUGCAUAAGGAUGACUCCUGCAUUGGGAUUGGAGCCUUACGAAGUUUAGGUCAAGACGGGCUGACACUCAGCAGCAGGGUUGCCAGCACCCACCUACAGCCUCAAUAGCAUGGGUCCCCAGGUCCCAUCCUUUUUACCACUGAGAGGGCGAUUUCAAUAAUGCAGUGUCAAGGGACUACUGUGU